rnacentral:rRNA from 1 species
GACGAACGCUGGCGGCGUGCUUAACACAUGCAAGUCGAACGGAAAUGCCCUGCUUUUGUGGGGUGCUCGAGUGGCGAACGCGUGAGUAACACGUGAUUAACCUGCCCUUGACUUUGGGAUUACUUCAGGAAACUGGGGCUAAUACCCGAUAGUAGCUCCUGCUGCAUGGUGGGGGUUGGAAAGUUUCGGCGGUUGGGGAUGGACUCGCGGCUUAUCAGCUUGUUGGUGGGGUAGUGGCUUACCAAGGCUUUGACGGGUAGCCGGCCUGAGAGGGUGACCGGCCACAUUGGGACUGAGAUACGGCCCAGACUCCUACGGGAGGCAGCAGGGGGGAAUAUUGCACAAUGGGCGGAAGCCUGAUGCAGCAACGCCGCGUGCGGGAUGACGGCCUUCGGGUUGUAAACCGCUUUCGCCUGUGACGAAGCGUGAGUGAUGGUAAUGGGUAAAGAAGCACCGGCUAACUACGUG